rnacentral:rRNA from 1 species
UUAAAUUGAAGAGUUUGAUCAUGGCUCAGAUUGAACGCUGGCGGCAGGCCUAACACAUGCAAGUCGAACGGUAGCACAGAGAGCUUGCUCUCGGGUGACGAGUGGCGGACGGGUGAGUAAUGUCUGGGAAACUGCCUGAUGGAGGGGGAUAACUACUGGAAACGGUAGCUAAUACCGCAUAACGUCGCAAGACCAAAGAGGGGGACCUUCGGGCCUCUUGCCAUCAGAUGUGCCCAGAUGGGAUUAGCUAGUAGGUGGGGUAACGGCUCACCUAGGCGACGAUCCCUAGCUGGUCUGAGAGGAUGACCAGCCACACUGGAACUGAGACACGGUCCAGACUCCUACGGGAGGCAGCAGUGGGGAAUAUUGCACAAUGGGCGCAAGCCUGAUGCAGCCAUGCCGCGUGUAUGAAGAAGGCCU